rnacentral:rRNA from 1 species
GACGAACGCUGGCGGCGUGCUUAACACAUGCAAGUCGAACGGAAAGGCCCUGCUUUUGUGGGGUGCUCGAGUGGCGAACGGGUGAGUAACACGUGAGUAACCUGCCCUUGACUUUGGGAUAACUUCAGGAAACUGGGGCUAAUACCGGAUAGGAGCUCCUGCUGCAUGGUGGGGGUUGGAAAGUUUCGGCGGUUGGGGAUGGACUCGCGGCUUAUCAGCUUGUUGGUGGGGUAGUGGCUUACCAAGGCUUUGACGGGUAGCCGGCCUGAGAGGGUGACCGGCCACAUUGGGACGGAGAUACGGCCCAGCCUCGUACGGGAGGCAGCAGUGGGGAAUAUUGCACAAUGGGCGGAAGCCUGAUGCAGCAACGCCGCGUGCGGGAUGACGGCCUUCGGGUUGUAAACCGAUUUCGCCUGUGACGAAGCGUGAGUGACGGUAAUGGGUAAAGAAGCACCGGCUAACUACGUG